GCUGGCGGCAUGCCUAAUACAUGCAAGUCGAACGCGCCUAGCAAUAGGCGAGUGGCGGACGGGUGAGUAACGCGUGGGAACCUGCCCUUGAGUGCGGGAUAACCGAGGGAAACUUCGGCUAAUACCGCAUGCGCCCCGGGCAACUGGGGGAAAGAUUUAUCGCUCGAGGAGGGGCCCGCGUCGGAUUAGCUAGUUGGUGGGGUAACGGCCUACCAAGGCGAUGAUCCGUAGCUGGUCUGAGAGGAUGAUCAGCCACACUGGGACUGAGACACGGCCCAGACUCCUACGGGAGGCAGCAGUAGGGAAUAUUGGACAAUGGGGGCAACCCUGAUCCAGCAAUGCCGCGUGAGUGAUGAAGGCCUUAGGGUUGUAAAGCUCUUUCGCACGCGACGAUGAUGACGGUAGCGUGAGAAGAAGCCCCGGCUAACUUCGUGCCAGCAGCCGCGGUAAUACGAAGGGGGCGAGCGUUGUUCGGAAUUACUGGGCGUAAAGGGCGCGCAGGCGGCCGAUCAAGUCAGGCGUGAAAGCCCCGGGCUUAACCUGGGAAUUGCGCUUGGGACUGAUGGGCUAGAGUUCGGGAGAGGAGAGUGGAAUUCCCAGUGUAGAGGUGAAAUUCGUAGAUAUUGGGAAGAACACCGGUGGCGAAGGCG
rnacentral:rRNA from 1 species